rnacentral:rRNA from 1 species
GGCUCUUUGAAUUAUUUUUAUAAAGAGUCAGGCCUGCCCAGUGAAAUUUACUUUAACGGCCGCGGUACUCUGACCGUGCAAAGGUAGCAUAAUCAUUUGCCUUAUAAUUGAAGGCUAGUAUGAAUGGUUUGACGAGAGCAGCACUGUCUCUUUUUUAUUUUCAAGAACUUAACCUUUAGGUGAAGAGGCCUAAAUUUUAUUGAAGGACAAGAAGACCCUGUCGAGCUUAAAAGACACCAUAGAAGUUUAUAUAUGUUUAAAUAAAUUUUCUGUUAAGCUUUUUAGUUGGGGCGACUAAGGAACAAAAAAAGCUUCUUAAACAAAACAAACAUUCAAGUUUUGAUCCGGUGAUAGCCGAUUUAAGGAAUUAGUUACCGCAGGGAUAACAGCAUAAUCUCUCUUGAGAGACCUAAUCGAAAGAGGGGGUUGUGACCUCGAUGUUGGACUAAAAUAUCCUAAAGAUGCAGAAGUCUUUAAGGGUCGGUCUGUUCGACCGUUAAAAUUUU